AGUGAACGCUGGCGGCGUGCUUAACACAUGCAAGUCGAACGGGAACGGGUUAUAGCUUGCUAUAAUUGUCAGCUAAGUGGCGCACGGGUGUGUAAUGUAUAGGUAAUAUGCCUCUUACUAAGGGAUAACAAAUGGAAACGUUUGCUAAUACCUUAUACUCCUUAUUAACAGAAGUUAAUAAGGGAAAGAUUUAUUGGUAAGAGAUUAGCCUGUAUUGUAUCAGUUAGUUGGUGGGGUAAUGGCUUACCAAGACUAUGACACAUAACUGGUUUGAGAGGAUGAUCAGUCACACUGGAACUGAGACACGGUCCAGACUCCUACGGGAGGCAGCAGUGGGGAAUAUUGCACAAUGGACGAAAGUCUGAUGCAGCAACGCCGCGUGGAGGAUGACACAUUUCGGUGCGUAAACUCCUUUUAUAUGAGAAGAUAAUGACGGUAUUAUAUGAAUAAGCACCGGCUAACUCCGUGCCAGCCGCCGCCGUAA
rnacentral:rRNA from 1 species